rnacentral:rRNA from 1 species
AACGAACGCUGGCGGCAGGCCUAACACAUGCAAGUCGAGCGAGCAUUUCGGUGCUAGCGGCGGACGGGUGAGUAACGCGUGGGAACGUGCCCUUUUCUGCGGAAUAGUCCUGGGAAACUGGGGGUAAUACCGCAUACGCCCUUUUGGGGAAAGAUUAUCGGAGAAGGAUCGGCCCGCGUUGGAUUAGGUAGUUGGUGGGGUAAUGGCCCACCAAGCCGACGAUCCAUAGCUGGUUUGAGAGGAUGAUCAGCCACACUGGGACUGAGACAUGGCCCAGACUCCUACGGGAGGCAGCAGUGGGGAAUCUUAGACAAUGGGGGCAACCCUGAUCUAGCCAUGCCGCGUGAGUGAUGAAGGCCUUAGGGUUGUAAAGCUCUUUCAGCUGGGAAGAUAAUGACGGUACCAGCAGAAGAAGCCCCGGCUAACUCCGUG